rnacentral:misc_RNA from 1 species
UCGUAACAAGGUUUCCGUAGGUGAACCUGCGGAAGGAUCAUUACCGAGUGAGGGCCCUCUGGGUCCAACCUCCCACCCGUGUCUAUCGUACCUUGUUGCUUCGGCGGGCCCGCCGUUUCGACGGCCGCCGGGGAGGCCUUGCGCCCCCGGGCCCGCGCCCGCCGAAGACCCCAACAUGAACGCUGUUCUGAAAGUAUGCAGUCUGAGUUGAUUAUCGUAAUCAGUUAAAACUUUCAACAACGGAUCUCUUGGUUCCGGCAUCGAUGAAGAACGCAGCGAAAUGCGAUAAGUAAUGUGAAUUGCAGAAUUCAGUGAAUCAUCGAGUCUUUGAACGCACAUUGCGCCCCCUGGUAUUCCGGGGGGCAUGCCUGUCCGAGCGUCAUUGCUGCCCUCAAGCACGGCUUGUGUGUUGGGCCCCCGUCCCCCUCUCCCGGGGGACGGGCCCGAAAGGCAGCGGCGGCACCGCGUCCGGUCCUCGAGCGUAUGGGGCUUUGUCACCUGCUCUGUAGGCCCGGCCGGCGCCAGCCGACACCCAACUUUAUUUUUCUAAGGUUGACCUCGGAUCAGGUAGGGAUACCCGCUGAACCUAAGCAUAUC